rnacentral:rRNA from 1 species
GACGAACGCUGGCGGCGUGCUUAACACAUGCAAGUCGAACGGUGAUGCUCCAGCUUGCUGGCGUGGAUCAGUGGCGAACGGGUGAGUAACACGUGAGCAACCUGCCCCAGACUCUGGAAUAAGCGCUGGAAACGGCGUCUAAUACUGGAUACGAAACUGGCCCGCAUGGGCAUGGUUUGGAAAGUUUUUCGGUUUGGGAUGGGCUCGCGGCCUAUCAGCUUGUUGGUGAGGUAAUGGUUCACCAAGGCGACGACGGGUAGCCGGCCUGAGAGGGCGACCGGCCACACUGGGACUGAGACACGGCCCAGACUCCUACGGGAGGCAGCAGUGGGGAAUAUUGCACAAUGGGCGAAAGCCUGAUGCAGCGACGCCGCGUGAGGGAUGACGGCCUUCGGGUUGUAAACCUCUUUCAGCAGGGAAGAAGCGAAAGUGACGGUACCUGCAGAAGAAGCACCGGCUAACUACGUG